rnacentral:rRNA from 1 species
GACGAACCGUGCGAACGUUAUUCGGAAUCACUGGGCUUAAAGCGCGUGUAGGCGGGCGGGUACGUCGGCGACUGAAAGCCCCCGGCUCAACCGGGGAAGGGGUGCCGAAACGGCCGGCCUGGAGGGGCGUAGGGGGACCUGGAACUUCCGGUGGAGCGGUGAAAUGCGUUGAGAUCGGAAGGAACGCCCGUGGCGAAAGCGAGGUCCUGGACGGCAUCUGACGCUGAGACGCGAAAGCCAGGGGAGCGAACGGG